GACAGAGGGUGCAAACGUUGUUCGGAAUUACUGGGCGUAAAGCGCGUGUAGGCGGUUUGGUAAGUCGGAUGUGAAAGCCCCGGGCUCAACCCGAGAAGUGCACUCGAUACUGCCAAGCUAGAGUAUCGGAGAGGUUGGUGGAAUUCUCGGUGUAGAGGUGAAAUUCGUAGAUAUCGAGAGGAACACCGGUGGCGAAGGCGGCCAACUGGACGAAUACUGACGCUGAGACUCGAAAGCGUGGGGAGCAAACAGG
rnacentral:rRNA from 1 species